CCAGCAGGCGCUGCAGCAGCUCCCUGGGGGUCCCACUGACUGAAGUUGUCGAGCCCCUGGACUUUGAGGAUGUACUUCUGAGCCGGCCACCAGAUGCUGAGCCCGGUCCCCUCAGGGACCUGGUAGAAUUCCCAGCUGAUGACCUGGAGCUGCUGCUGCAGCCCCGGGAAUGCCGGACCACGGAGCCCGGGAUCCCCAAGGAUGAAAAACUGGAUGCCCAGGUGAGGGCCGUGGUGGAGAUGUAUAUCGAGGACUGGGUCAUCGUCCACAGAAGGUGAGUCUGACUUGGGGGCAGCUCAGGGGGUUCGGAACCCAAAAGGGCUGAGCUGAUGUCUGCAACCGGUCCUACUGU
rnacentral:sRNA from 1 species